AUAAUCAGGAAACUUCAACUCCGCUCAGAACUAAUCAUUUAAGUGAAAAAAAUAUAGUUCGUGGAUUCAUAUCUCAACCAAUUUUCCUUUACAUAUAAAUAUUUCCCCACUACAAAGAUAAGAAAAAAAUAUAAUAGAAAAAAUAAACAAAUCCAGGUCACUAUAUACAAACCAACGUAUCAUAAUCAAUUUCUUUUAUUUUGGUCAAUAAUAAAAUAUCACAUCGCCACCAAUGAUAUAAAAAAGAAUGCAUAUGGUAAUUGAUAACAAGAGAAAUAACUGAUAAUAUGUACAGAAACCGGUAUAGUAGAAAAAUAUAUACACACACACACACACACACGCAGACUUGGUAACAUAUUUAAAGGGAAAGGUUUUGGUAUAAGUUCUGCCAUAGACUUAACACCUUCUCCCCCUUAACCUCUUUUGUUCAAUAAUAGGUUUGGAUUCCCUUGCACCGAUAUGAGAUUCUCCCUCACUAAUAAAUAAAUCCUUAAGUUGUUAUGUCAAAUAGUAAUGUGUGUAAUAGAUAAACUGGACCUAAUUAGUGUUUUGAGUUUGUAAUAAGUUAAAUAUAUUAUGUUAAGAGUUAGGUUUGUCAUGAGUUAAUAAAGGUGUGAAAUUUUAAGUUUUCUAAUUAACAUAAAUAAAUUGAGUAAGUUAAAUACAUUGCGUUAAGGGAUUUGUGUUGGCUUAAGUUAGGUUUGUCAAAGUGGUUCAAUAAAUAAAGUGAUUAAGUUAAAUACAAAUAUCAGGGAAUUUGGGUUUACUAUAAUUUAACGAGGUUUGUCAAAUGAUUCAAGUUUACAACAGUUAAGAAUGUGUAGUAUUUUCACUUUUCCUUCAUGUUUACAAUUUUCACAUUUCCUAACUAAUAUAAAUAAAUGAUUAAGUUAAAUACAAAUAUCAGGGAAUUUGUGUUUACUAUAAUUUAACGAGGUUUGUCAAAUGAUUCAUGUUUAAAAUAGUUAAGAAUGUGUAGUAUUUUCACUUUUCCUUACUAACAUAAAUAAAUUGCUCAAGUUAAAUACAUAUGUCAAGGAAUGUGUGUAAUAUUAGGUUUGUCAAAGAGAUUCAUGUUCACAAUAACUUAAGAAAUUGUAAUGUUUUCCUUUUUCUUAUAUAAAUAAUCUGAAUACACUGACCUUUCAUUAAAUACCUUCCUGACUAGUCUUCAGUAACAAAACACUCACACCCACACAUAGCGAUAUAAAUACUUACACACAAAAUACACACACUCAAACACACACACACACACACACACACACAGACGUACACAUGUAUACAUAUCCACAGACAGCCUCUCACAGCCUUUUAAUUUCUGCUUUGGCUUCAUUUUUAAACACUUCAAUAAAUAAGAAAGUCAUUAAGCUGUGUACUAGUCAAUUUGGGUGAUUAACUGAGUGACCUAUUAGCUGUGAGGUCAUAGUAUUAGGGUUAUGUUAAUUAAGGUCAAUUAUCUUUUGUUCUUUGGUGUAUACAAUUGAAGAUCUCAGUGGUAGAACAUCCUAUUAUUUCUUUAUCUAUUAUUUCUUUAUGUCUCACUUCUUUUAACAUUUUUUUUGUCAAUGUCUAACUUCCUUUAUCUCUUCGUUA